CUAAAAAGUAAAAUCUGAAAUAGGAAACUUCUCACUCGACUCUCAUGUCGAAACUGAAUGCCAAAUAACAAACAUCAAAUAUACUUAAAUUUUUAAAAAAUAUUUUCUUUUUCCUAGUAUGCCUUGAAAUUAAAAAUGUCAAAUUUGCUCUAGGUACGUAAACUUACAUACAAACAUAUUCAGUCCGUUCUAAAACUCGACUAGAGCGCUUCAAAAAAUUUAAGACUCGGAAAAUAGUAAAAAAAUAUCAAAAAUCAAAACAUUUCUUCUAAAAACUGGUUAUAAUAAAGUUUAUAUAGAAUUUAAAUCCUCACCUUCGACAAGGUUUUAAACAAAGUUUUCCCUUUCUUUUUCUUUUAAUAACAAUAUCCCAUUCUUCCUCGCCCGCGUUGGCAUUGUCGCCUUCGCCUUCCCUAUCCCGCGAAGCACUAUUUACGAGUGACUUUUCUCAACUAACCAUCGAAAAUCCUGAUUCCAACGAGGAUGCAGGGCAUCUUUCUAGUGCUUGAAAACUAGCUUCGCUGCGUAAACAGCGCAAUCACCCUAGAUUGCCUUGUGUCAACAAUAUGAAUCACAAGCCUCCACAUAUUGCAGUUUUGCAGAACAGCUCAAUACAUCAAAACCCUGACAGAUUAAAUUCUAGACUCUAUUCUCACUAAAUUCGAAGCAAAUAAUCCACCCAUCUGAAUCUAAGCUAAGACUGAGUGGUCCUGAAUAUAUAAAAAUUAUUCCAGAAACAACAGUCAUAUAGACUGUUAAUAUACUUGACCAGGAAAAAGACUGCCAAUACAAUACGUACCGAUGAAGAGUGAACAGUGCGUUGCAUUUUAGCCUCCAACACUGGCCAUAUCAAACAGGAACUGACACGGAUGGGAUGAGGUCAUAAGAGUAUAUAGCCCCAAGUUACAAAAUUGGCAUUGCUCUGGCACAUUAAGACCGAAUAUCUUUAUUGAAUAAGCUCCAAAUUCAGAAAAGAGCAACACCAUAUUCGGAAUCUGCUUUUUAUUGCGUCACACAGCCCAAGCAUGUGCUUAGUGUCUUAGAUCCAGAUAUUUUAAAACAAAGCACUGCCCGUUUCCAACGCACAUAUUUACCAUUGACAAUUCUUACAUCCAUAGGGUUCUCAACCACCUUGCAGUUGGCGUGCUGGACAACAGGAACACCACCAGAAGACUCAAGAGAAUGCAUCUGCUGCAUCUUCCAAGGGACCAAAUUACUUGAUCCAAUCAUUCCCCUCCCACCACACACCAACCCAACCACUAAUUAAACAUCGCUAUAAUUCACAAUAGGGAAUCACAUACUACAAAUGAAACAAACCCUUGAAAAAAUUUAGUAAUUGUCAACGCAUGAUCUUAAAUAAAAUGGUUAUUAUACCAACAAAAAUU